rnacentral:rRNA from 1 species
GACAUCCAGAGAACUUGGCAGAGAUGCCUUGGUGCCUUCGGGACCUCUGAGACAGGUGCUGCAUGGCUGUCGUCAGCUCGUGUUGUGAAAUGUUGGGUUAAGUCCGCAACGAGCGCAACCCCUAUCCUUUGUUGCCAGCGAUUCGGUCGGGAACUCAAAGGAGACUGCCGGUGAUAAACCGGAGGAAGGUGGGAUGACGUCAAGUCAUCAUGGCCCUUACGAGUAGGGCUACACACGUGCUACAAUGGCGCAUACAAAGAGAAGCGACCUCGCGAGAGCAAGCGGACCUCAUAAAGUGCGUCGUAGUCCGGAUCGGAGUCUGCAACUCGACUCCGUGAAGUCGGAAUCGCUAGUAAUCGUAGAUCAAAAUGCUACGGUGAAUACGUUCCCGGGCCUUGUACACACCGCCCGUCACACCAUGGGAGUGGGUUGCAAAAGAAGUAGAUAGCUUAACCUUCGGGAGGGCGUUUACCACUUUGUGAUUCAUGACUGGGGUGAAGUCGUAACAAGGUAAGCGUAGCGAG